GACCCUGAAGAGUAACAGAAAAAUAGUUAGAGAAAGAUUAAAGAAAAAUAAAAAAGAACCCAAAUGAUGCACAUAGUAGCAGGAAAUAAGCAAGUCUGUGAGUACCUUGGCACCUUCUGAGCCAGCAGGACCUGGCCCACCCCUUGUUCCAGGAGGCCCUGGAGGACCCUGUGCACCACGUUCACCUGGGACACCAUUUUCACCCUGUGGCAAAGAAAUGUGUUAUUCUUGGUUGGCAAGCUCAUAGUUUGUUAAUUCCUUACUGUAAUUAGAAAACUGUUGUUGUUUGAUUUACCUUAGGGCCUGGGAAUCCGGGUCCUCCAAUAUCACCUUUUGGCCCCUGUUUAUGAUAGAAAAUGAAUCUAAGUAAGUUGUCCAUGCGCUUAGUGAAUCUGCAUUGUGGAUGGCACUCUGUUUCUCUUGCCUAUUAGCCCUUAAAGCAGAAUUCUCUGCUCUGCAGAGUGCCGAUAGCUGAGUUUGAAAAUGUAAUCUAAUAUAUUUUUCAUUUUUUUUUUAAAAAAAGGAAGUACUACUUACUGGUUCUCCAGGCUUUCCAUUCUCUCCAGCUGGUCCUGGUCCACCAGGCAAUCCCUAUAUGAAGAAACAGUAUUAUUAUCUCUGUUACACAGAUAAACUAUGCUUUUUCCUAUCUAGCAGAUAUUUUUGACACAAAGAUGUGUAACCAACUCAUCGCAAUCCUUUACAAAGUAGGAGGUGCUAAUUUGAUAGCUAGUGGGUUUAUGUGACAUGAUCUAUUGAGCUAGCCAUCUGGUUUGCAAUUAUGAAAUACUAAGCAAGACGUUUUGUCAAGUGGUUGAUUUCUCUGUGUGUUAGUUGUGUGUUAAGUCUAUUAAAAACAAUCAGAAACUAACAAACAGUAAGCACACAGCACCUGGAGACCAGGUGGCCCUGCUGGUCCUGGUUCUCCUCUCUCCCCAGAAGCACCCUGGAAUCAAACAGAGAGGGGAAAAUAAAAAGUGAGCUUGUCUGAGAACAUUUCAACAUAUAAACACCUCCACACCACCUCUAACCUAGGUGUCUUUAUCAUGAUCUGAUGAUGAUGUUGCACAAUCUGAAAGGCUAAUAUAUCUUGGUGUUCUGGUAUUUGCUCUUUUUGUUCCAACCAUUAGAUAGAAUUCAGCAGACACAUUUAAACUUGCUAGUAGUCUGAAAUGCCAGCUCUGAUAAAUGCUAAAGGGAGCAAUAACUGCUUCAAUUUAAAAAGGUGGUAGAUACCCAAGAGCUCUAAAUAGACUUUUCAUUUCAACUUAUACCAGCUAUACCUGACUCAGGUUUCUCCUAACAAAGUUUCGAGUAUUAAUUUAUUAAAAUACUGGCAAAGAAGAGCUCUUUUAUUUGUCUUCAGAAAAGAAGAAUUCUUUAUAUAAUUAAAAAUGUUUUCCUUCCCUAAGUACACAGUCUCUAUCUGCUGAUACCAGACCACCUUGGCAAUAACUCAUAAUAGUCUUUUACAGGACCACGACACUUACAGUAGGUCCAGGAGGACCUGGGAGGCCAACAUCACCGUUCUUCCCAGCAGGACCCUACAGAAAGACAAAAUUAUGCUAUUUAUUAUGGGUUGAUAUAAUUUUUAGGAGUUACAAAAUUAUUGUUAAUUCAUAUUAUGUCAUUAGUGAAGUAAUAUGUAAUUAAGCAGAAUGUUAAUUAAACUUACAGGUGUUCCAGGCGGACCACCAGGGCCUCUUUCUCCGUUCUUACCCGGUGCACCCUUACAAAAGAGAAUGAUCACAUUUAGAAUCUGAGAGAUCACAUGUAGAAUUCCUCUUCUGCUCAAUGCACCUUAAGCUUAGUUUAAAGCAGCAUAAUUUAAAGCUACAGCACCCGAUAGUCCCACUAUGGAGCAGCUGAACAGUUGAAAAAAAUGGAGAAAUCCCACUCACCUCAUUGCCCUUUGGACCAGGGAACCCCAUGACACCUGGUUGGCCACGGGGGCCCGGGGGGCCAGGUGGACCAGAGCGGCCAGAUUCACCCUGACUACCCUGGGAUUAAAUAAAAAAAAAGGACAACAUGGCAUUUGUUAGGGGAAAUAAAGGAAUAUCCAUGACUUGUUAAAUAGUGAGUGAGGGUGAGAUCAGGCUACAGAUAUUGUCGCCUAAACUUAUUAUGUGUUUUGUAUUUCAACUAAGCUUCUGUAUACUCUGUAUUUUAAAUAGUAUUAAAUGACAAGAUUUACAGAAUGUUAUUACAAUGAGACAGCGUAUAAAGUGCUCUGGUAAUAAAAACAAAAAAAGAGACAAUCUGACUGCGAUAACAACCUGUCAUGUAGAUAAUGUGGGAUGAGGGUAGGAGGACUGGGCUAAAAUAUUUGCACAAUGUACGUACUGGAGGGCCAGGUUUCCCAUCGCUUCCAGGGCUUCCUGGAAUUCCAGGCAAACCCUACAAUGAAAGAGAAAAAGGUGUUAUUCUUCAGUUUUAAAUGUACAGUAUUAAGUUACAAUACACAAAUAUAAAUAUAUAGCAACACAUUUUAAAUUACUUGCUUGAUUUUAACCUCUUUAAUGAAGAUUAAAACUCCUCCCAUUUCCCCCCAUCUCAUUAAGGAGAAAAAUUGGAGAAAGCUAACAAAUUACUUUGUUAGGAGUUUCUUUCUCUGAGAAUCAUUGGAUAUAAUCAAUGUAUUGUACAUUAACCAACGUGCACAAAAUGGUAUCCUUUCAUUAUUUGGGAAGAAAACUCAUUUCAGAUGGUAAAAAUCAAGGAAUGAAACAAUUUUGACUAGGUACCUCUACUUAAGAAAAUUUAAAGUGCAUUUUAGUUAACUUGUUUUAUAUUUUUAAAUAUUAUUUUUGUUAUAUUUUAAAUCAUUCAUUGCCAUUUCCAGUAAAAUCUUUCUUAGCUGCAGUCAGGCUGACUUUUGAAUUUCAAUGCAUUUGUUGUCAGCAGUUGCUAAUUUUUAGUAUAGCUCACAGAAUGUUGUUACAUUCUGUAUAUACUACGCAACAGGUUAUUUGAGACAUGAAUGUAUGUAUGCACUCAAAGGAAUUAAGAUUGCAUUUUUCUAAUUGGACUCCUGUAUGGUCUCAGCUCAGAUGAGGCAUCUGUAAUAGAGUUUAUCUCCGUUUCUUGGAGAUGUCCCGUCUUACUCUCAUUCCAGGAAGCCCUGGGCCUCCAUCUUGUCCACGCUCUCCUGCGGGUCCACUGGGGCCAGGAGGACCUGGGCUGCCACGUUCACCAGCAGGACCCUACAAACGAGAUGUUGCAACUCACAGCAAGGAAAUCGGCAUCAGACUGAAUCUGAAAUUUUCCACUCAAAUUCACAUGGGUUCUCCAGAAGUUUGGGUUUUUUUCUAGAGGAAGACUUCUACCUUUUCACCUGGAAGUCCAUUGCUACCGGGUAGGCCACGGAAACCGGGGGAGCCCUGCCGAAUAAAAGAACAAAAUAUGGAUCAUAGGCAAUAGGACUCAGGACAAGAAGUACAGCAAGUGGCAGAGCAGCCAGUGCCUGGGGAAAUCGGGUUGCCUUCAGUGUGUGACUACAACAAGCCAUCUCUUGCUGCUAAGUGUUAGAACUCUUUGGUAGAAAAUAACUCUGGAUUCAACAUGAACUGGAGCCAUCAACUCAUCAAUUGCAAUCAAUUGAGAAGAUGCAUGGCUAUAAACCAACAACAUGUUAUUUUUUUCAAGGUGAACACUGAGGAGAUAAACCAAUAGUUAGGUAUGAGAUUUGCUUGCUGCCAGCAUCUCCAGACUGUGAACAAAUGAGCAGAUUUUACUCAGAGUAUGUGCAGUGGUGGAAAGAGACAAAGACAAUAUGUGAAGGUUAUAUGAGCAAGUGAAGAUAAAUGAUAAACUGUGACAUAGAGUACAACAUCAGUCUACAAGCAGUGAAAAGCAGCUGGGAAGACAGGAAUGAAGAGAUGUGUGACUGAGGAAAUACCAGGCAUGGCCACCACCCAGAGACAAAUGUUGGUGCUGUAGCUAGGAUUUUUUAUUUUAUUACUCUUCCAAAUUAUUUCAAAUUGACAAAUAAAUUAAUCUGUGUAAUGUUAGUGAUGAAUAUUAUUUAGUUCUAGCAGGUUUAGUCAAAUCUGUCUAUAACUACUCUGUUACUGGCUUUGCAGUCAUGCAUUGCAUGAUGCAAUAUAAAAGAGUGUAUGACCUAGAAGUAUACAGACAAUUCUGGCUGAAGACAGUCUAGGGCACAUGUUUAAAUUGUUAUUUUUUUAACCCAAAUCAAAAAAUCAGAGCACCAGGGAUCACUAAGCACCUCAGGAAAAAUGCCAAAAUAGAGGGGAGUAAUGAUGCUUGUUAGAUGAAAGGUGUUUCAGUCAUCUGCCUGGUUCAGCACAUCCCAUAUUAAGACACCAAGUAGCAAAAUGUAGAUGAUAUGAUAAGCUGUGGGCAAAACUGUGAGGAGCUGCAAACAAGUAAAUGAAUAAACAAAUUCAAAACCAGAUGGAUGAUCACAUUAGCAAAUGAACAAGGUAGAAAUAAAUGGAUGAAAAUAAAGGUGAGAAAAUAAUGAACUAUAUUUCAGGAAAAACAGCUGUCAUGAUUAGUAAAAUUUGUUUCACAAGAUGAUCUGAUGGAUCCCUGAGAAAUAACAUGUUUGCUUGGAGCUGCCUUGAUAUGUUACAACAUGUGAUACUCAAACCUUGUUAUGCAGCACUGGACUGAAAAUAAUCGUUAUGCUUCAUGAAGCAGCAGCCAAUUUCAAAUAAUAGCAAUUCACCAAAUCCUCUGUAUAGCAGAGUGCCUGAUUCAAGAACACUGCAUGUGGUGAACAUCUCUAAAUCCUAGGGCCUAAAAGGAAAAUCAUGAGGUGCAACAUUGGAGUUUAUUUUAUAUGGGAAGCAUAGCUCAUGCAUAACUCUUUCAGGCAAUCCAUGCAUUAUCUCACUAAAAAAACCUGUAAAAAGCUUGGGCCAGGCCUAGUGGGCAAACACAGCAUCCUUAGUGCACAGUCUGAACAGCUGUGGGUAAAAAAAGUGGUAAUCGUAAAAAGAAAAGGUGAAAACCUCUUGACUGUUUCUGGGAUGAAAAAGAGAUUAUAAGAAAGUUUUACUUGUUAUCAGUCAAAUUUGAGGUGUGGGAAAGUAAACAAGUCUGCAGUAUCAUACUAAGUAAAGACAGAAUGUUGCUGAAUGGGUAAAGGGAGAUUAGGGACAGUGCAAGAGGUAAAAAUGUGGUGGAAAGGAGGGAAGCAAUUAGUAGAAGAAUACCAAAGCAGGUACAUGAGAAGGGUAUGCAAGAGAGAAAGCGAGAAAUGUUUAGGCAGCAUAUGAAAGUGAACCAGCAAGAGAUUAGGAAAAAGGAGGUAAGAUAAGGAAAAAAAAGAAUGAGAAAAGGCAAACUCUCCAGAUAAUCUAUUGUUACUUUCUAGUAUGAUACUGCCAAGCAAAGUGCUGCCUUACAUGGCAUUCCACUUUCAGGCAACAAUUAAAUUAAAACUUAUGUUGUUAAAUUCAAAUCAGGAUACAUACACAUCCAAGGUAUAAUCUAUGAGUAGAAAAUUUCUUAAGAAAGAAAAAAAAAGGACAGAAAAAAGACUAUAUCAUCUUACAAUGGGCUGUUGGUAACCGAUACCAGCUGAACCAGCCUUCACAUCAUAGGAGUCAUACUGUGGAGAAAAACUCUGCAAAAGAAAUAGAGAAAAACAGGAAAAAAAAAAAAAAGAAAAAGAAGAAAAAAGGUGAUUGCUACAAAUCAAAUAAGACUUUCCUUACACUGGUAUUGCAAAUGUACGGAAAUAACUCAUUUGUAUCUAUUGAGUAGUACUUUUUUGACAUAUAGCUGCCAUGUAUUUAAAGCAUCCAUAAAAGAAGCCCAGCCAAUAUCUUUCUUUUGUGGUCAUGGUACUGUCAGCUCCCUAUACUGUGCUCAUCCGGUUUUCAUCUUGACAGCUGGGCCUCAGCUGAGGCAAAAAUUACCAUUCUCUCUUCCCUUAUUCUUGUUUGACUCCUCUUAAGUUUUUUUUUUUCUUUUUCCAUUUUAUUUCAGUCUCUUUUCUGUUGGACUUUGUUGUCACUCAGUGAAGUUGAUGAAAUAUUUUCUUUGCACUAAAGAAUGCAAUAUUUUAUUAUUAUUUUCCCAAUUUCUUUUACCUCUGAGUAAUGAAUGUCUCAUUCAGAGUAUUUUGUAGCAAAAAAACCCAAAACUUACCUACCUAUGUGUCUGUGCUUCCCUGAAUUACAAAUGAUUUUUUUUUUUUUUUUUUACUAUUUUUUUUCCCAUGCAAGAACUCGCACAUCUCAGAAAACUGGAUUUUAGACUUUUUUCCUAAUGGUAUUUUCCAUCUUUUCUUCCUUCUCUUUCACUAUGUCACUCUGAAGAAUUCAAACACAGUCAUCACUUUUGAACCCAAACAGCCAAGCCUCAAUGCCUUUGACAAUUUGUCUUGAAACAAGUGGAAGCUCAGUCCAAGGCAUGUAGUUAAAAUAUGGCCUGUGUGACUUUCUGAGAGCAGAUAACAUCUUUGACAGACGCAUUUACAUAAAAUGAUGUUUAAAAAAAAAAUCACUAUAAAUUCUACAGUCAGUUCUGCAAGGAACUCCCUCUUAAUUGGCACAUGUUGAUUUUAUUAUGCACACAUUAGCCAGCUUAGUUGAAUAAUACGGCAUUAAUGCAUCUCAUCUGUAAAUGGCACAGAGGUGGCUGAGCAGGAAAGGUUGAACACUUGAGGUCUUCUGCUGGUAACCCAGACCACUGUGGACUCACCUCCUUUGCUGCCCAGGCACCAGACGACUCCUGUGCUACUGAUCAUAACCCUCUCCUCAACAUUCAGCAGCACGUUUUUGAUACAGCAUUUGAGUGGGUGACUAAUUCAGCCUGUCAUCCUCCACUGUGUCUGCAUCUGCCAACCUAAAGCCAGUAGCUCUCGGUAAGUUAUUGUGAUGUCUACUGAAACUGGUUAACUGAUCCAUGGACACCCCUCCCAGAAGCUCUGUGCUUCAGAUGCAAUCCUUUCAGAAUUAAAUAAAACCAACACAUCUUUCCUCAGUUUUUGGCUUACCUGGGAGUGGGAAUCAUACAUAGAAGCUAUAAACACUGGCCUGUGUUCAAAAGUGCCAAUUGUUUUAACAUUAAAUUUUUAACAGUUUUGUGCUAAAGCAAUCCCACCUUGUAAAGCCGGGCUUACUCGGUUCCAUGGGAGACAAUGCUGUCUCUUAAUGAAGUGCCAGCUGUGGCUCAGAACCCUUAACAAAUCCAACUGCACAGAAACUUUAGUAAAAGAUUAGCUCUUUCAGAGUCUGCCCAACUCUUCAGAAGAGAAUUCAGGAUUCAGUGGGUCAGAAAUGAAGAGGGAACAUGACGAAGAGCACUUACACAGAACUUCCUGCAAGCAGUGGACCUGUGUUUUGGUCUAGUCUCCUGAGAAUGUUUCCUUAUUAAACAUACAUUGGAUAAAGUAUAGGAAAGUGAGAGAGUUCUUUAUUCAGUAAGCUUGAGGGGAUGCACCUCCUCCUAUACAUUUUCUGUCUGGUCAGAUUAUUUCUGAGUUAAGUCCUUCAUCAGAUCUGGCUCCAAAAGUUUUAAAAGGCAGAGAGUUAACUGCACUUCAGCCGAAUUUUGUGGACGAACCCCCAAAACAGCAAAAAAAAAAAACAACCUACCACACAGCUGUGUUUUUCAAAGGCACAAAUGAGAGACAGAUGCCACUGAAAGCAAGGGCUGUGUGAAGGUGCAGGGGACAGUUGCCCACAGUACCGCUUUGUAUGUGUAGGAACAAGGUAGAAGCUGAAUGUAAUGAUAACUUACACCUCCGCUUAUACUGGGACAUGACUGGCAGAUCCCGGGGGGUCCAGGGGCUCCAGGACUCCCUGGCUGUCCUGGAGGGCCAGGGGGACCACUUCUGCCUGGAACCCCAGGAGAACCCUGCAAAGACACAAACAGAGCAGAUACAGAUGUCAGCAUUUGCCUCCAGCUGCAAGGGCAUCACAGGACAAAUCCUUCCAUUCUUAAUGACAUCUGUGCAAUGGUGGUGGGAAACCUGCUCUAUUAAACAUAAGACCACAACUGAACAUUCUGGAAAGACACAGACAGAAUUCACACACGGAAACACUUCUGAGUUGCUGGAGCCUUCUUGCACUGAUAUUUGAGCAAACACACUAGAAAUAUUAAACAGGUCAAUUCCUGAAUCUAAAAUUCAUGCUGCUAGUGGAGACCAGAGAUAUUCAUUUUUUUUCCUACUUGGAAGAAAUAUAAGAAAAAACCCAAAAUGUAAUACAGUUUGGACUAAACUUUCUGUUUUUCCAAUUUAAAUUUUUGAGAGUUUUGUUGAAGCCAAAGGGCUGCUUCAGAACAACUAUAUGGCAUAGUCUUGCAAAUAGUGCAGACAUCAAUGAAAGCUGGGUAUCUCAGCAGCUUGAAUGGGGUAUACAGCACAGUGGGAAUUGGCUCUUGAUUUUGUUAGCUUCCUUGGGAAAUAAAAA